rnacentral:rRNA from 1 species
AGUGAACGCUGGCGGUAGGCCUAACACAUGCAAGUCGAACGGCAGCACAGGAGAGCUUGCUCUCUGGGUGGCGAGUGGCGGACGGGUGAGGAAUGCAUCGGAAUCUACUCUUUCGUGGGGGAUAACGUAGGGAAACUUACGCUAAUACCGCAUACGACCUACGGGUGAAAGCCGGGGACCUUCGGGCCUGGCGCGAAAGAAUGAGCCGAUGCCCGAUUAGCUAGUUGGCGGGGUAAGAGCCCACCAAGGCGACGAUCGGUAGCUGGUCUGAGAGGAUGAUCAGCCACACUGGAACUGAGACACGGUCCAGACUCCUACGGGAGGCAGCAGUGGGGAAUAUUGGACAAUGGGCGCAAGCCUGAUCCAGCCAUACCGCGUGGGUGAAGAAGGCCUUCGGGUUGUAAAGCCCUUUUGUUGGGAAAGAAAAGCAGUCGGUUAAUACCCGAUUGUUCUGACGGUACCCAAAGAUAGCACCGGCUAAUU